GCCCUUGGUGGGCGAUAAGGCUUAACGGAAAACAACAGCAGAGCGCUCUCCCGCUUUCCCACCCCACUCGCCAUGGCCGAAACCUUCGCGGGCCUCCGCAUCGUCGCCUCCGCGGUCCCUCAGCCUCAAACCCUCCGCAGCCGCCUUCUCCGCGCCGCGCUCCGCGGAAGCCCGUUACGGGGCGGCCGGCUGCGCGCCCGGGCCGCGGUCGCGGGGCCGCCGGAGGUGGACGACGACGAUGCGAUGAGCUUCGACAGCCUGCACCGCUUCUUCGACCUCAACAUUGGGAGAUGGAACGGAUCCUUCUACCAAUUCGACGCGCAUGGGAGGGUGCUGCAGGACAUUAGCACGCGGUUGUCCGUGAGCACGUACGGGGAGGACGACCUCAUCAGCCUCCUGCAAUCGCUGUAUAUCAAGCAGGCUUCCUCUCAGAUAUCAGUUGUAGAUGAGGAUGAUUCUGAACCGGAGUGGGUAGAGUACAAAAUCAAAGAGACAAACAUGUUCACUGUGGACAAGUAUCAGCAGAUAGGGUUCUUUCCUGAAGCGAAGGCAUUUGCUCUGAGGUACCAGACUGCAGGAAUGCUGGAGACUGUCCUUAGGGUUGGAGUGCUCGGGGAAGAUGAUGCUGGUGAAGAAUCCCCCAAAAACUUGAAGAUACCUUCUCGUAAGCCAUCUAUUGUAUGUGAGAAUUGUCUUUACUCCCUUGAAGGCAACGGUCGAGUGAGGGCUUUCCACAUAAUGGACCCGAAGGGAGUGCUCGACACACUUCUUGUUUUCCAUGAAAAGCAGGGAGUGCCACAGGCACUUGUCGACUCUUCAGUUGAUCCUAAGAGUGCCAGCAGUGAUAGGAUAAAUGCACUACUCGGAAGAUGGGAGGGGCGUUCUGUGACCAAGAGGAGUGGGGUGUAUGGAGCAACCCUCGCUGAGGCAGAUACAGUUGUUGUCCUCGAAAUGGACAGCAAUGGCCAGCUGAUUCAGGACACUAUAUCAACAAAAUCUGGAACUAGCACGACAAUAACUGUCAAAUGGACAGGAUCAGCAAACAACAACUUGCUUCAGUUUGACAGAGGAUACGAAAUGACACUGCUACCUGGUGGAAUGUACAUGGGAUAUCCAUCAGACAUCAGCAAAUGUGUCGCCCAGUUAGACUCUUUCCAUCUGGAGUUCUGUUGGAUGGAAUCGCCAGGAAAGAGGCAGCGGCUUGUGCGCACUUACGACUCUGCUGGUCUCGCUGUUUCAUCAACCUACUUUCUGGAGAGCAAAGUAUGAACCACAUCUUCCACACGGACCACACCCAAACCGAAUAGCAACGGUUUUGUCCUGCUGCUGAAGAGAAGACCGACGACCAGGACUACCAGGAGUCUCAGGAGUUCUACGAGGAGCACUCAGUUUGGCAAGAUGCAGGAUCCGAUCCGGAGUUCGACACCAACAACGACGGAUGGUACGAUUGAAGAUUAGAAGCCCGUGCUACGCUCAAGUGCUGCCUGUGGAGAUGAAGUUUGAGAUGAAGGAUGGCCUGAAGACCAGUUACCGCUACCGUUUUCCGUUUGUUCCAAUUUAGCCCAUGGGGCUUGUAAUAAAUUCGUACUGCAAAAUCCUCUGGAUAUUGUAAUAAUUAAAUUUAUAUUUGAACC